AGGAGGAGCAUAUCAAUAAGCAGAAGAUCUUGGUCGUUUUGAGGAAGUAAGCGGAGGAGCAUAUCAAUAAGCGGUCUUGGUCAAUUAGAGGAAGUAAAAGUCGUAACAAGGUCUCCGUUGGUGAACCAGCGGAGGGAUCAUUACCGAGUUUACAACUCCCAAACCCCAAUGUGAACGUUACCAAUCUGUUGCCUCGGCGGGAUUCUCUUGCCCCGGGCGCGUCGCAGCCCCGGAUCCCAUGGCGCCCGCCGGAGGACCAACUCCAAACUCUUUUUUCUCUCCGUCGCGGCUCCCGUCGCGGCUCUGUUCUAUUUUUGCUCUGAGCCUUUCUCGGCGACCCUAGCGGGCGUCUCGAAAAUGAAUCAAAACUUUCAACAACGGAUCUCUUGGUUCUGGCAUCGAUGAAGAACGCAGCGAAAUGCGAUAAGUAAUGUGAAUUGCAGAAUUCAGUGAAUCAUCGAAUCUUUGAACGCACAUUGCGCCCGCCAGUAUUCUGGCGGGCAUGCCUGUCCGAGCGUCAUUUCAACCCUCGAACCCCUCCGGGGGGUCGGCGUUGGGGAUCGGCCCCUCACCGGGCCGCCCCCGAAAUACAGUGGCGGUCUCGCCGCAGCCUCUCAUGCCCAGUAGUUUGCACACUCACACCGGGAGCGCGGCGCGGCCACAGCCGUAAAACACCCCAAAUUUUCUGAAAUGUUGACCUCGGAUCAAGUAGGAAUACCCGCUGAACUUAAGCAUAUCGAUAAGCGGAGGAAAU
rnacentral:rRNA from 1 species